UCUCAGCCUGGGAGCUGUAACAGUGAUUGAUUCCCAGAGGUUCUAUACAGGAUGAGAUAAGGGUGGACACAUCCUCUCCCCAUCAGCAAAGACCCUUGUAAAUGUCAGAGAGGCAAUGGUCCAUACUGGGAUGUCCCCCGAUGGCUACUUAGGAAGAUAGCCUUUGGGUACUUCUGAAAACCUGAGGGGAGAUAUAUAAGCCAUUCAGCCCCUAGAACCUAGUGUUGGGGGACACUGCCUCUACUCUCCAAAGACAAGUAGAGACAGUAGAUGACUUCAGUGAACUCUGAAGUGUUCUGAAGAAAAAGAAUUUCCAAGCAAUCUUCUCUGAGAUUCUUCCUUUCCCAUGAAAGAAGGAAGAGAGGAGGCAGAAGAUUCUGGAAGUGACCUGCUAGCUAAGUUAUAUCUUGAAUGUUUAUGGAUCAAUAUGCCAAUGGAUAAAGCACAAGAUGGAAUAUUAAUUGUUGUCUGCUACAGACCACCAGAUCACACUACUGAACAGGGUGACCAGCUUCUUAUGAAUGUAUCUACUAUCUGCAGAAAGUGAAAUGGAAUUGGAGCACGUCUCAAACCACAGCCAAAUACUGCUUGCUGACAGCCAAAUUGUUAACUGGUUUUGAAAAUAAGUCUCAACAGCAGCCAUGUUCUUCUGGCCUUCAAUCAUCUUUCCAGUUACUCCACACUCAACCCACAGCACCUGUGGGGUGUCUUUCCAGGGGGCCAGCAUUCACCCUCCAUCUCAAGUAUCUCUUCCCCUCUUUGUGUCCCUAGUGAUGCCACCAGACAGCCCUUAGUCAUCAAAACAAAGGUAACAAAACACCUGUAAGCAGCUCCAUCCAUAAUAUGGGCCUCUCUUACUUCAGAGAGUCCCUGGGAGUAUCAAUGUCCUCUUCAGCGUUCAGUGGGCUCCAGUGCAAACCUCAGUUCUGUUCCUCUUCAACUCAGGGGUUCUGCACCCUCCUUCUCUGAGGACAGGGCUUCUGUAGGCUGUAAACCCUCUCUCCUGGGCUGGAGAAGCUCAACUGUCUGUUCCCUCCCUGGGGUUUCCCUAUCUGAAUGCAGUUCCCUCUUUUUAACUCCAUGUCCUCUGGCAUGAUUUUCAGGUGCAGCAAGACAGGGCCAUUCAUUAACACCCUCUCUUUGGGAUUUUUCCUUUUCUGUCUGCUUUUCUCUUUUCUACACAUGUGCAUAAAAAAAAUCUGAUUCCAACAAUUCCCAUUCUCUUUUCCUCUGCUGCUGUCACUUUCCUUGGGCUUAAAAAAAUAAAAUAAAAAAAUUGAACCGUA